ensembl:lncRNA
AGGGAACUGGAAAGUGGAGGAGCUGAAAGCAGUCUGCAUGGAUGAUGCUGUAACCUCUCUGGGCAGCUCUGUGCCCACCUGAGCUGGGCUAGGCUGUGGAGGAACAGAUGGCACGUGCCAGUCUCGAUGACCUCUCCAUUUACUUCACACUGACUGAGCACCCACCAUGUACCAAGCCCCAUGCUGCCAGCCUUGCUAACAGUCUAGUCUGGGAGGUCUUCAAUCCUUGGAAUGACAGAACUGACUGCAUCUCUGAAAGAAACCCCCUCCAUAUCUUGGGAAAGAAGGUCAAUGCUGCCCAGUUUCACGGCCUCAGGUAUACUAUCAGCCCCUAUUGGGCUGCUCUCCAAGUGCCCAGAAGAACUUAAAGACAGACCACAGAGUGCAGAAUAUCAGAACUGUGCAAAGAACAUAUAAGGAGACUAAAGUUCACUAGAGGAGCGCUCUGAGUUUGCUGUCAUACCAUCCCAGCACCUAGCAAAGAGUCUGGGAAGUACUCAGCUGGAUCUCUAAUUGGUUCCAGGAAGUCCGGCCACAAGCUGG